rnacentral:rRNA from 1 species
CCCCUAGACGUUCUGGGCUGCACACGCGCUACAAUAAUACGCACAGCGAGUAUCACCGAGCUCGAAAGGGCAAGGUAAACAAUAGAAAAGGUACUGUAAUGGUUAUAGAUCCUUGUAAUUAUUGAUCUUCAACGAGGAAUUCCUAGUAAGUAUGUGUCAUCAUCACGCACUGAUUACGUCCCUGCCCUUUGUACACACCGCCCGUCGCUCCUACCGAUUGAGUGAGCCGAUGAAACUGCCGGAUGUGGACUAUUCAUAGUCUGCAGAAGAUAUUUGAAUCGUAGCGCUUAGAGGAAGGAGAAGUCGUAACA